ensembl:snRNA U6 U6 spliceosomal RNA
GUGAUAUCCUCCCCACUUUGGCAGCACAUAUAAUAAAACUGGAACAAUACAGAGAAGAUUAGCGUGGCCCUUGUACAAGAAUGACAGGCAAAUUCAUGAAAUGUUUCAUAUUUUU